GAUGAACGCUAGCGGCAGGCCUAAUACAUGCAAGUCGAACGAUAUUAAGGGGCUUGUUCCUUAAGAAAGUGGCGCACGGGUGCGUAACGCGUAUGCAACCUACCUUAAUCAGGGGGAUAGCCCGAAGAAAUUCGGAUUAACACCGCAUAAAAACACAGGAUAGCAUAUCCAAUGUUCAAAUAUUUAUAGGAUUAAGAUGGGCAUGCGUGUCAUUAGCUAGUUGGCGGGGUAACGGCCCACCAAGGCGACGAUGACUAGGGGAUCUGAGAGGAUGACCCCCCACACUGGUACUGAGACACGGACCAGACUCCUACGGGAGGCAGCAGUAAGGAAUAUUGGUCAAUGGAGGCAACUCUGAACCAGCCGUGCCGCGUGCAGGAAGACUGCCCUAUGGGUUGUAAACUGCUUUUAUCCGGGAAUAAACCUUUCUACGUGUAGGAAGCUGAAUGUACCGGAAGAAUAAGGAUCGGCUAACUCCGUGCCAGCAGCCGCCGUAACAC
rnacentral:rRNA from 1 species